AGACAUCUGGGCAAGUCAACAGGAAGGUGGAUAUCCAAAUCUCUCUCUUCGCAAUGAGUUUCCAGUUAGAUGGAGGAGAGAGUAAUAAAACACAGAGCUGAGAUUCCUGACUUCACAGAUCCCUGAGGAGAUGUUUACUAAAGGGAAUCUUCUGGUCACUGUUACCUUCCUCCGUACUUACCUGCCUCAUGGAUAACACUGAAGAAUGCAGUUUACUUACAUCUUUUUCUGUUUGACAGAAGACAGUUAUUAGUUACCCUUGGGACAUCAAAAUGACCAAGGCAGUGUCUGCUAAGUAUUUGCUGAGACUCUGCUAUGAUUCUUUCAAGUCUAAAGACAGUUAUCUGAAUGAUAUCCCCGUGACAGUGGACUCCUGCACAUUCACAGUCCUGGAAGGAGCCUGUCCACAUUGGCAUUCUGGAAGUCCAUAAAAGACAAACGCAUAUGCAGUCCCCGAGAAAGCAUUGUUGUAAACAAAUCUGCACUAGAUGGAAACUCUGUUAUGUGGUGCCGGCAUGCAUGGAAGAGAACCCGAAAGGAAGAAGCUAUACGACUGGGGACACAUGUCUUAGAAGCACACUCAUUAGAUAAAGUGUCGCAUACUCUUUGAUAAGUGACUCAGAACACCCGUGUCCUUCCCAACAUUGGAUGCAAUGCUAAAGACAUGAUGUUGCUCCUGCUGGACCACACCUUGAAGGAAUUGCCUACCCCACCUCACCUCCAAAAUUAAAGUCUUUCGUUUUGACAAAA
rnacentral:lncRNA from 1 species